UUCAGAAUCAUCCUCAGAGAUAGGAAAACUAGUUUCAUAUUAAUAUUAAUCUUAGUUUCAUAUUAAUCUUAGAUUAAUAUGAAACUAGUUUUCCUAUCUCUGAGGAUGGUUCUGA